rnacentral:rRNA from 1 species
GCGCACCAGGCGCGAAAACUUUACACUGUGCGAAAGCACGAUGAGGGAAUCCCAAGUGCUUGCACGUAAGUGUAAGCUGUUUCUCUGUCUAAAACGCAGAGAGAGUAAGGGCUGGGUAAGACGGGUGCCAGCCGCCGCGGUAAUACCUGCAGCUCAAGUGGUGACCGUUAUUAUUGGGCCUAAAACGUCCGUAGCCGGUUUAAUAAAUGCCUGGGUAAAAUUGUGUAGCUUAACUAUACGAAUUCCGGGUAGACUGUUAAACUUGAGACCGGGAGAAGUUAGAGGUACUCCUGGGGUAGAGGUGAAAUUCUGUAAUCCUAGGGGGACCACCAGUGGCGAAGGCGUCUAACUAGAACGGGUCUGACGGUGAGGGACGAAGCCCUGGGGCGC